rnacentral:lncRNA from 1 species
GUGAAACGUUAUCACGUGACAUGGAAUAAUUCAGUUGUUUUUCAUUCAAUUGCAAGGAAGGACGAAUAACCCUAAACAUUUCCAUCAGCGGUGAAUAACCCUAUUAUUCUCCGGCGAAUAACCUUUUGAGAUUGUUGAUUUGUACUUGAGUUAUCUCCCAUGAAAAUGACGUCACAGACGUAAAUAAACAAAAUGGCAGCGUUCACGUUACACUAAAAGCCCACCGAGAGACGAGGAAAUAAGGCAUUGGACAUGAAUAGAGUGCCAGCAGCUGAUAAUAGCUCUUAUAGAGUAACGGUCCUUUUCAGGGCCAUCAAUAUUUUACAAAAAGAUUCUACCUUUGUUGUACAUUCUAGAAAUUCUACAACACUAAUGUAUUUUCAAACGUCAGCUUGUCUUUGACUUUGUUAUGUAAAGUUUAAAAAAUAUAGUAAGUGUUCGGAAGGCAUUUCCAGUGUUAGUUCGGUAUAAUAAAAAAAUUGUGGCCCCUUAGAAUC